rnacentral:rRNA from 1 species
AUUGAACGCUGGCGGCAUGCCUUACACAUGCAAGUCGAACGGCAGCACGGGAGCAAUCCUGGUGGCGAGUGGCGAACGGGUGAGUAAUGUAUCGGAACGUGCCCAGUCGUGGGGGAUAACGCAGCGAAAGCUGUGCUAAUACCGCAUACGAUCUAUGGAUGAAAGCGGGGGACCGCAAGACCUCGCGCGAUUGGAGCGGCCGAUAUCAGAUUAGGUAGUUGGUGGGGUAAAGGCUCACCAGGCCAACGAUCUGUAGCUGGUCUGAGAGGACGACCAGCCACACUGGAACUGAGACACGGUCCAGACUCCUACGGGAGGCAGCAGUGGGGAAUUUUGGACAAUGGACGCAAGUCUGAUCCAGCCAUUCCGCGUGCAGGAUGAAGGCCCUCGGGUUGUAAACUGCUUUUGUACGGAACGAAAAGGUUUCCAUUAAUACUGGGAGCUCAUGACGGUACCGUAAGAAUAAGCACCGGCUAACUACGUGCCAGCAGCCGCGGUAA